AAAAGAUCGUGAAGGUGAGGUCCAAAUUUUGAAGGAACAAAGUGAUGUUGUUGAGGAGGUUGUGGAUGAAGUGGUGCAUGCUUAUCAUAGUGGGUUCAACAAAGCAAUUCAAAAUUAUUCUCAGAUCUUGCGGUUAUUCAGUGAAUCUGCAGAAAGUAUUGUCACACUAAAGGUCGAUUUGGCUGAAGCAAAGAAGCGUCUUGGCACCCGGAACAAACAAUUGCAUCAGCUAUGGUAUCGGUCUGUUACCCUGCGGC
rnacentral:misc_RNA from 1 species